rnacentral:lncRNA from 1 species
GAACAUGAACCACCACCCCCAUCAUCUCCCUCAAGCCCUUCAAGACCGAAACCCUAAUCGAUGCCCCCAAAUUCCAUAGCCGACGAUGGCGGAGCCACCGCCAAACCUCAUCCCAGUAACACCCCAAACUAUCCUCCACAUACUCUACCUGAAUCCAUACCCCUUUUUCCUCGAAUCACAGCCAAAACCUUCGAAUCUUAGAUCAAAGAAACUUCGGCCAAAACAUCACCUCGCCCAAACACCACCAAAUUUACACCACAAGACCGCCUCCGUGUCCUUUAGCGAACCCCCUUAACCCCUUCACUCGAAUCCUGCCAGAAAUGUGCAAAUAUUAGUUUAAGUUUUUCCGGCCAAAACUCUAGUCACACAAACUCGCCCCAAAAUAAGACCAGAUGUCCCUUGGGCCCUGAUCAUGAAGAAUUCAAUGUUAUUAACACUCAAUUCCCACCGGAGAUGGGUGAAUUUGAAGCGUGAAAGUCAGCCUAAUUUCGAGCCAUGGCAGCUUUUUGUUUUCUUUUUUGUUUAAUUCUUUUAUUUUGCUUCUUUGAUCAUACUCGUUAAAUUCUAAUUUAAGAUGCAUCUUGAGUUUCUAUUGAUUUUGAUUUUAAUUUUGUGUCUGAUUUUUGUUUAAUUAGACUGCAAUUUGUCUAUUUCUUUAGUUUAGUUUGAUUAUUAGCAUGGCUUCAUUUGUUAUGAUUAAAACUUGUUUUGAUAAUUGUUUAAUUCUGAUGGAGAGGUUGUUAGUUAACUAAAGUUAGUUGUUAGAUAAUCAUAGUUAGGAUUUGGGUAGGGUUAGACUAAUUUACUAAUUUCAAAUGAUUUUAAGGGCAUUUCGGGUAACUAGUAAGAUACAUAGAUAUUGUAGAUUAUACCUGAAGUUCCUAAAACCUUCUAGAUAGGGCAAAAAUUAGAAUUUCAGAAAGAUAAGUGCACUUACUUGAAGCACAAGUCAGUAAACAAAGGGUGAAAAGUUAAAAACUGAAAUCAAAGGAGGGGUUGAAAUGAAAGAAAACAAAAAUCUGAGUUGCACUUCAUUUUUGCCUUUAAAAGGCAUCACAAAUGCCUCGAAAAACAAGUUUUUUAGCCAUCAAAAAUUCCUCGUAAAAGCUCUCUUUCCAAUUUUCAGAUCUGAACUGGAAAUUCAAAUAUUCAAAAAUCCAAAAACAUCAUAAAACAAAAAAAACAUUCUAUUGUUUCAUUGCCUAGUUAUAUCAUUUUAAAGUUUUCGUUGAUUUUCUUCAAAUUUUGUUCUAAGUUCGAGUUUCAACAGCAUUUAGAAGUAUUUCGUAAUAUGUUCGAGUGAAUAUGGGUUUGUUUAGGUUGGUUUUUGGUUAAGUACUAUUCCAGGGAAGUUUCAGAAGCAAUUUAAGUUCAUUUUCGAAGUUAUUUGAGUACAAUUUGAGUUAGUUGUGGUUUAGCGGAUUGGAAGCACUAAUUUCUGGUUUCAUUUUGGUCAAUUUCUGUGUUGUGUUUGGUCUGAUGUACAAGUCUCGUUUGGUUUUAAAUCAGUUCUGAAUCACUGAGCUAUUUCUAGGUUAAAACCGUGUUGCAUAUUGCUGCUGUGCUAACUUCUUCUUCUUCCUGUUGAAUUCUGAUUCUGAGGUACAUAUUUAUAAACUCACUUUGAUGUAAUUAUGAAUUGGAGUUGGAAUAGAGCUAUUCAUCAUAUCUAUGUGCUGAAGAUGAUUAUCUGCUGUUCUAGUAUGUAGUUAAUUAGUUGCUUGUUAAUUAGCUUUUUGUAUCCAUCUAUGUUAACCUGUGUUGGCAUUGCAUGCAAUGGAUAUAAGGUUGUAUAAUUAGGAUGAUUUUUAUUUGGUUUGUACUAUGGGCUGUUAAUUGGUGCUGAAGAUGAUUUUCUGUUGUUCUAGUAUGUAGUUAAUUAGUUGCUUGUUAAUUAGCUUUUUGUAUCCAUCUAUGUUAACCUGUAUUGGCAUUGCAUGCAAUGGAUGUAAGGCUGUAUAAUUAGGAUGAUUUUAAUUUGGUUUGUACUAUGGACUGUUAAUUUAAACUGUGGAUUGUGGAUUGUUAAUUACAUGCUACAGUAAAUGUAGUUCGUUUGUUUAGUUUAAGUGUUCAACAUUAGAAAGUAAUUUAGGUAGGAAACUAAGUGGGGAAUACAUACAUUUGUAACUGAGUGAGCGGACUGUUAAGUUCAAAGCAUGCAUAAGUUCAAUACAUGACAGCAAGUGUUAAAUGGAAAUUAGGAGUUAAUCAGGGAUUGUUUGGAUAACCUUCGUACAUGAAUGCUUCCUCAAUGAAUUGUAGUGAAUUGGAUUUUUUCAAUUCAUUCCAGUUUGUUUCUGUCAAAAAUAAGUAUUAACUUAAAACUCUACCAAAAACGUGCUUAAUUCCUUAGGUUAGCUGAAGUUAGUUUAUUUUUGAAAUUGGAAAGUGCAUGUUUAAAUACGAUAAUGUUGCAUCUCAUGCCUAACAAACGUUGGCUACAUUAAAUUCAUCCAUUAAGUUCAAUAUUUGAUGAUAGGAUUUGCUUGGGUUAUAUCUAAUUAGUAUACAAGUCAAAGUUGAAUUGAUGGUUGGGAAGUUGAUUGGAUUAUCUUCAGUUGUUACUCAAAUUAUGAAUUUAAUGAGGCCUAAGGCUGAUUGACCAUUCCUGAAGUAAAACGCUAGUCAUUUAUAUUGGGCUGGACUUGAGAACAGAUACAUUAAAGACCCUUACUCCUUUAAAUCACGAUUUAGCUUAGAUAUAGGCUUUGGGCCUGUUAAUUAGGUUUCUUUUAAGGAUAAUCUUUUAAUAGAUAAUCGUAGUCCCUUUCAAGGAUGCCUUUAAAAUAAUGAGAUGAGCCUCCCUAAAUAAAAGGCAAAAAUUUUGGGGCCCUCAAUAAAGGAUUGUAUUAAAAUAAUUAGAUUUUAGGAUGGGCCGUUUAGCAAAUUUCACGGUCUUCCCUAAAGAUAAUAAUGCACUAGUCUCUUUAGGCGCGCUUUUAAUAAUGUUACCUUCCUAAUUUCGGGUGCACAUUUAUAUGACCCAAAUUCAAAUCACAACAAAGUCGAAAUGUGUUAACAACCAAGGGUGUAUUUUCACAAUGUUGCAAUUCUUUUAAAAUAAUGAUAAAAGCGUUUCAAAGUUAAAAAGCACAUGAGUUAUAACAUGUAUUAAAAUCAUAUACUUAGCCAUUUGCAACAGUUUAAGCGACCUUGCUAUAACCAUGGGAUUCAGGGGUACCUAACACCUUCCCCCGGGGUCAACAAAAUUUCUUGCUUAGAAUUUCUGGUUCUCAGACUCCAACUGGGAAGUCGAGAAUAUUAAUCGGUUCGGGAUUCAAGAUAAACUAGUGACUUGGGACACCAAAAGCCAAACCUUUCCCAAGUGGUGACUCUAAAUAAAUAAAUGACCCCGAUCCAAAUAAUGGCACUUUAAAUGGAAAAACUCCGUUAUAUAUUAUCCUUCGGGGUAGUGUGUAAAAAGGAGGUGUGACAGAUUUGGCGACUCUGCUUGGGACAGGAAACCAGAACGUUUUAUUCAGGGUUCAAAAUUUGAGCUUAGAUAAAUUCCUGUAUUUGGUUAUAUAUGAUUUUCCUACAUGUUUCAUGAUUAAUAUGCUAAAUGUUUACCGCUUUGAUAGUAUCUGAAUUGUAUAAAAACAGUGCCGAAACAUUUCUCUUCUCAUCUCCGGGAAUGUGCUUACUGGUUGAGACUCCCUAUUCUUUUAGUGUCAUACGUUAAAAUAAGAAAGAGGCCGGACAAGUUACUAAGCGGGAUGGCCUUUUGGUUCCUGGUACGUUGCCCCCUCCUCGAUUCGAGUUGUCCGCUCGGGUACACAGUCUAGGACCUAUACCCAGGUUUUGAACAUAGAUUAACGUGACUUCAUGCCGGAUCCCUAGUAGGAACGCUUAUCUGCAUUAUGUUGUAUUUGAAUUAGGGGACUCAAGGGGUGGGUCCGUCUAAGACUAGCAACCAAAAUGAAAAAGACCAUCCUAAUGCAUCAUACUUGUUUUCCGUCCAUUUAUUUAUUUCGGGCCUGCUUGUUGACCGGCUUCUGAAUAUCGGGAAUAUUGUAAAAUUGAGAAUAAAAGAGAAAUAACAAUGUAGAGAGUUAAUUUCCUAUUUUUAGAAAAAAAAUCAAUGCCCAAAUACUGUCAAAACUCUACCGAAAUUUCAAAAAUGAAAAAGAAAAAUAUUUUAAUUUUAAAUAAUAUAUUUUACUCAAAAAGCAAAAAAUGAGAAAAUGAAAAGAGUCCUUAUCUUUAUUUUGUUUUGUUGUUUGUUGAAAAAGAAAAAAAGAGUCUUUAUUUUGUCUUGUUUUCAAAAGAAAAUAGGUUGUUUGUUGAAAAAAAAGAUCUGUAUUUUGUUGUUUGUUGAAAAAGAAAAAGAAGAGAGUCUUAUUUUCAAAAAUAGUUCGUUUUCUCUACCCGAACUAUGCCGGUUUGAUUCUCAGUGGAUCUGAGAUACGUAGGCAGCCCUCACUGGGUCCAACAUCCCCUUUGCAAAAAUAACUAAAAAUGUUAAAAUUUUUGAUUUCGUCAUGAAUAAGUCGGGUGACGUUAUUCUUGUAAAAAAUAAGCCGAAUGUCCCUAAAAGGGCGCCGGAAGGCCAUUUUUGCAAGAAUAGCCACCUUGGGUCAUUUUCAACGUUUAGCAGACAUAACCUUAAGAUCUUCUUUAUGAAGUGCUAAAAGGCUAUAUCCGCAAAAGUCAAAACCAGCUUUUUUUUGCUUCAAAUUGGAAUUUUGAACAAAAUAGUAUCACUUCUUUUCUUUUAUGUCAAAAAAAGUUAUUAAAUCACCUUAAUAAAUGUGCAGGAUGAGCACGAUUCAAAAUGAACCUUUCUCAAUAAUGACUAAAAUCCUUCUAGAGUUGCGUCUAUGGUGGGAUGAUCUGGGUAAAGAAGGGAAAGACGAGGUCAAGAAGUAUUUGAAAGGGCUUACUGGUUUGUUAGAGAUCGUGACUCGAGGAGACAUCAAUAAAGUAUUGGUCACAUGUUGGGACCCGACACACACAAUGUGUUCCAUUUUUCAGACUUUAUACUCACUUCGACAGUAGAGGAAAUAACCGGAUACAUCGGAAGUACUGAGAUUCCGUUAAGGCACAAAUACUUGAUUACCUCGAGAAUUGUUGACGUGCACCGGUAUUUAUACUUAGUGAAGAUACCCAGGACGGUCCAUAACCCGGAUUUGGCAAAAGGCUUUUGUACUCCGCGCUUCAUAUACGACAGAUAUGGUCAUAUCGUAGGGUUUAACAAUCCGGGUAACAAACUAUGCAGCAAAAGUAACCACCAUAGACGAGUGGCUUUUAUGAUAACCUUUUUGGGCCUCUUGGUGUUCCCAAUAAAAGACGGAAAUAUUUAUAUAAAAAUAGUUGGGGUCGUUAGUACUUUUCUCAGAUGAAACCACUGUUGCGCCUAUGAUAGUAUCUUAUAUCUUCCUAGCUCUCACAGCCUGCAGAGCCGGAGGAAACUUUUCCAAGGGUGUAACUUGUUGUUGCAGAUAGGGUCAGUUUACCUGAAGGGGUCAUGGCAUGGAACUCAUACUUUCGGACCCUCACUGCCAAUCAAAUAUAGUGGAUGCUAAGAUGGUUGCCUGUCAACGAAGUCAUAUAUAUGCCAGCAGUUAGGCCCCACUUACUCUUAAUGGGACUUAAGAGAAUUCAGCCUUAUGAUCCAUAUCUGGUUUUAAGGCAACUCGGGAGAUGUCAAGUGGUGCCAAAUGACGACGAUCUUAGUGUCCAAGUGGUCGAGAUUGGUCCAUAUGGCCAAUUUCCCGAAGCAAAGGUCCGUCAGAUCUGGAGUGAAUGUCAAUAUUUGGCAGCGAACACCUGUGUGUGGGACCAAUCUAGAGGAGAAGUUUCGUCUAAAUAUCAUGCUUGGUAUCGAGGGGAAAUUACAUUCGGAAGGCCAGCCAAAAGACCUCACCUACAGGACUUUGAUGAGUCAUCGCAGGAACAAUGGGGCUGGUUAGAAAAAGAAAGGGAAUAGAGGGCCCGCAUAGGAGCAUUGGAGAAAUAGGUACACGAUCUCCGGUUUGAAAACAGUUUACAAGCUGCAGCCGACGAAGGGGAUAAAAAGAAGUUGGCCUAAGAAAAUGAAACUCUCAAGGAUCAAAUCUGACAGAUGAGAAUGGACGCUGACAACCAACAGAGAAGUCGGUCUGAUAAAAAUUUGAAAAAUGGGUUGAAAAAGAAAAUUAUUGAGUGAGAAGGAUCUAGAAAAGACCGAGGGUACCAUAGCAAAUCUAUGGGCACAAUGGGCAAAGAAAACGGAGCGUGCACAGUUUUUACAGCAAAUAAAGAGGAAUUAUGAAAAGACCAUUGCCAAUUUGAGAAGGAAAGAGACUAACCUUGAGGACAAAGCAGCUAAACAAGCCUAAGCUUUUGAAACCGAAAGUGGACAUUGUUAAGAUUUACUGGCCCGAACGGAAGUAGAAAUACAGCAGCUGCAGAGUCAGCAUCUUUAGGAUUCUCAGGUGUUGAAGGCCCGUGAUGAUCAAAUAAGGCGCCUGCUCAUAGAAAAAGGUCGAACCAGGGUCAAGAUUGAGACCAUUUCCCACACCAUCAUUAGGAGAUGCCGAAUGUGUGAAGACAUGACCCGCACUACCUUCUUUUCGGCAGUAAUGAUUUUUGUCAAGCGGACAAUGUAUAAGUUGGAGCAACCUGAAAGGGAUCUUGCACCUAACCCGGCGGCGAGGCCGAGCGAUGCCCAGCGGGCACCCACUUUUGAAGCAUUAAUGUAUUCGUAGUUCGAGUCUGUAUUUUCUAUUUUUAGAGUCUGUUGUCUGUGUGUUUCCUUUUUGCAUCAGAGUAUGUCAGUAGUUUUUGAGUUUGUAUUUGGUUUUAUUUCGAGCAUGUUAUUUCCCUUUUCAAAAACAAAAUUUUUAGUUUGUAGUAGAAUGUUUUAGUUAAUGAAAAUUGAAAAUUCCCAAAAUUUGUUUCUUUAUUUUUGCGUUUGUUUGCACGAACUACGCUAGGUAUGAUUCAUAUGGGGUCAUGAUACGUAGGCAAUCCUCAUCGGAUUCGACCAUAACCUUGAAAGAAAAGAAAAAAAAAGGAAGGAAAAAGAAAAAGAAGUAGAAGAGCGGGAAGAAGAUGAAAGAAAAAUCAUCGCAAAAAGAAAGAAAGAAAGAAAGAAAAUGAGAAAAAUCAAAAGAAAGCCGGUAUGACGCAUGCAACUGCGGAAAACAUGUAGAAAUUCAUUUAACUAUGUAGGUGCAUUACACCUCAAUGUGCGAUUACCUAUAUGCUAUUUGUCUCAAACUAACCGUUUGCUACUAUUAGUCCAGUCAGGUUUAUAGAAACAGGUGGUUGGUUUUGUGGUAAACUGGCUUCGCACCACUAUUUUACCAGAUCCAAAGGUAGUACAGAGAUGUCUUCAGAAAUGAUCCAGCCAACAAUCCUUAUCUCAAAAGAUAGCCCACUCUCGAGCGCCCCAACCUCAGAGUCUGCAGCGGCCAAAUAAAAUAGAAUCUUACGUCCGAGGGUAAUGGAUAUGUGGGGUGCAUGCACAAACGCAAAAGAACCUCCGAGUUUCAUCCCUGGAUUUCCUGAGUUGUUCCCAAGAUCAACGGGUACCUCUAACAUUCCCAUCAGCCACCCGAACGUCCCGUUAGGACAGCCUACUAUAUCUGCUCAUUUUGUAGGAGCAUCUUCUUAAGUUUGGUUUGGCCCCAAGAAUUCGUACCCGAGAUAGCUUUUAACAUCUUCACCGCUCCACCAUCCCCUGCUACAACACAGCCCGCAAUCCCAAAACCGGUGUUUGAUCCAUCGGCAUUCACUUAUCAUACUCCUACUUACUAGCCAUACCCAUCUCAGUACUCCACAUAUGCUUAUCCUCAGCAACCACCAUGUGAGCUCACACCAGAAAAAGAUCAAACUUCCAAUGCUUUUGCACAAGACGAGAUGGAGAAAAAAUGAGGAGUCUUUAACAGAGUUUAAAGAAUAUGCAAGGGUUGAAUGGGAAAAAAAAGUGUUUCUUGUACAGAUCUGUGCAUGUUCCCUCAUAUGCACCUAGCCUCGGGGUACAAAACACCAAAAUUUGAAAAGUAUGAUGGGCACUGCGACCCCAUUGUUCAUUUAAAGAAGUAUUGCAAUCAGUUACAGGGGAGCCGGUGGCAUAGAAGAAUUGUAGAUGGCAUAUUUUGGGAAAAGUUUAAUCGGCAUUGCUUUAGAGUAGUAUAUGGAUCAAGACAUCUCACGUUGGCAUAUCUGGGAUGAUCUUGCCAGAGACUUUGUUCGACCGUUUCAAUACAACAUAGACACCGCGCCGGAUAGGAACUCUUUGGCAAAUUUAAAGAAGAAACCCUCAAAAAGCUUCAGAGGAUAUGCAGUUAAGUGGCGCGACAUGCAUUAAGAGUGAAACCUCAAAUGGAUGAGGUAGAGAUGGUCACUGUUUUCCUUCAAGCCCAAGAACUCGAUUACUUCCAAAAUAUGAUGUCGGUCAUGGGUAAGCCUUUUGCUGAGGCCAUCAAAAUUGGGGAAAUGGUAGAGAACGAUUUGAAAACGGGUAGGAUUUUAAGUUAGUCAGCCAUCCGAGCAACCUCCCAAGUCAUCCAAGGAGGGUCUGGAGGAAUGGCCAAAAAUAAAAAGAAAGAGGAAACAAUUAUGGCAGCAUCAGGAGAAAGAAGAUACCGGGCUCCUAGACCUAUGUUAUCUGAAAGAAACGCUCAAUACAACUAUCCUCAUUCUGACAUGACAUAUGUAACCCACCAUAUGCGAUCAUGAACGAUCAACCCUAUACCCGACCGCAACCACAGGCCAAAGGAAAUCAACCUCCAUUCCAAAUAAAUAAGCUUCCUCACCAGAACCACUAUAAUCUCUGUCCUCCACAGAAUAAUUUUCCUCCUUCUGAGCCACCCAAGAGACAAUCACACCUAUUGGUGAACCCUACUAUGAUCUAUUCCCAAAGCUUGUCCAAAUGGGCUUACUGCAGCCAGUCCUUCAAACAAGGCGAAAUCAAGCAUCGCCUGCUUACAGAGGCGGUGUGAGGUGUGCUUAUCACUCCGGGGCGGAUGGGCAUGAUACCAAUGAUUGUUUGACCUUGAAAGGGGCAGUGGAGAACAUGGGAAGAUAUUGGUAAGGGACGAGGAGGUCCCAAAUUUGACUAACAAUCUGUUGCCCGAUCAUAAUUUCGGGUCAGUGAUUGGAAUGAUUUGUGAAGACAGGGAGUUUGAUCCAGCUUUGAAAGCUAUAAUUGCUAUCGUUGAUGUGGAAAGGAAUCCUAAGGCAACCUCGAAGCAGGAGAAAGGAGAAAACAAGACUAAAACUGUCAAAACUGAACCCAAGAAGGAAGUUGAAACAAAAACAGUGAUGACGCCUCCUAAAAAUGGGGUUUUCUAUGUUUCGCGAGGUCGCCAAGAAAAGCCAUUAGUUGUGAGUACUCCAAAGAAAUUUUAAUUGAAAAGUAUGUGCCAAAAGGAGCCUAUGUGGUCCGGGGACGAUUAAAUUGCUUCGGCUGAAUAAGACAGUGGUUAUCAGACGCGUUCCAUAGAAGCCAAUGACGGACCAGUCUACGGUGCCAUGGAACUAUCAGAAGACGGUGGUUACAUACAAAGGUAAAUAAAUCAUGGAAGAACUUCCGAAAAAUACCUUUCCUCAGAAAUAUUCAUAUGUACAUGAGGUAAACAAAGCCACGCGAAAGCGCUUUCUACCUAAGAAGCCUGUGAGUGCUGAGGAAGCAGAGGUUUUCUUCCAGAAAAUAGAGAUGCAUGAUUAUAAAGUGGUUGAUCAGUUGCGUAAGUAUCUUGAACAGAUGUCUAUGUUGUCUUUGUUAAUGAGGUUUGCCGAGCAUCAGAAUAUCUUAAUAAAAACUCUGAAUAAGGCGUUUGUGCCAGCUGAGACUUCAGUCGAACAUUUCGAAAGAAUGGCACAAAGGUUCUUCGAUGUCAAUCAAAUCUCCUUUAGUAAAAAUAACUUGCCUCCAGAGGUAGCGGCUCAUAACAAAGCUUUACAGACUGUAAAGUGUGAAGGUUUUUAUGUCAACCGAGUAAUGGUGGAUGGGGGUUCAGAUGUUGUCAUUUGUCAACUCUCCACACUGCAGAGAAUGGAAAUCGAGAUUGGAAGGAUUCGUUCCAAUAACGUCUGUGUAAGAGCCUUUGAUGGCAUUAAAAGUGAUACCAUUAGAGAGAUUGAUCUGCUAUUAACCAUAGAACCGGUGGAUUUCGAGGUGACCUUCAAGGUGUUGGACAUAGAUAUAUCUUACAACUUUCUUCUAAGAAGGCCUUGGAUCCAUGUCGCAGGGCCUGUACCCUCCACCCUUCACCAAAUGGUAAAGUUCGAAUAUGAAGAUCAGGAAAUUGUGAUCCAUGAAAAGGACGAGCAGUCUAUUUAUCGGGACCCAUCUAUCCCAUGUUUGGAGGAUAGGGAGGGAAGCGAACAUAUUGUUUAUCAGGAUUUCGUAGUUGUAGUAGCGGAUCAGUCGAAGAGGGGAGUCCUUGCCCCCAACCCUUCCUGUCCAAUGCUUCGAUCAUGGUGGCAAAAGAAAUUAUUAGACAUGGUUUCAGACUAGUAAAAUGAUUGGGAAAAACUCUACAAGGAAUAUCGAAGCCAAUAACCCUACCCACAACAUAAAAGUUCUUCGGGAUAGGCUUUUAUCCUACCCCAGAAGAUGAAGAUUGGGUGGAUGAGAGAAAAAAGGAAGGAUGGGUCUAUCCACAGCCAUUGCCACAUCUCUAUCAGACCUUUGUCAGACCAAAAUACAAUGAGAAAGAAGAUGAUGUAGCCUUCACAGCCGAAGAAAUCGAAGAAAUAUGUGGGGAGAUGAGGAAAAUACUUUAUGAAACACACACGGUUCAGCUAAGAGAAGGCACAAACACCGCUGAGGUGCUAUACAUGGGACCAGAUACUAAACUUCAAAAUUGGAUACGCCGUUCCCAGUCAGGCGGGAGUCCGGGUAGACUUAUCCUGCCACUUUUUCUACAUCACGAGUUAUCCUAGGGUGUAACUCGGAUGUUUUCUUAGUUUCCUGUCUUUAAUUUCCUGAAUGUAAACCCCGUUAUCUUCGCAAUUCCAAGAAAUGAAAUCUAUAUUUCAUCGUUUAUUUUCUUUAUUCUUUCUGCUGUUUUUCUCUUUUAUUUUUUCUUUUUAGUUAUAAUAAUGCGGCUUUAAAUAACAUAGCAAGCUUGCGGACUUAAUGCCAGAUCCAAACACGUUGUCUAACUGUGAAAUAAUGAACCAAGAGCCGUAAUAUGAUGAAGAAGAGGCUUUUAGAGAAAUAAAUCGAGGAUUGGAAUAAUUUGAGAACAAACCUAAGCCAAACUUGAAUGAUACAGAACUGGUUAUUUUGGGAACUUCUGAAGGAAUCCGCGAAACCAAAAUAAGCAUUCACACAUAUGAGAAAACUCGAGAUGCAAUAAUCUAACUCUUGUUUGAGUUUAAAGACGUGUUUGCUUGGUCGUUUGAUGAUAUGCCAUGAUUGAGUGUUGAUCUAGUGGUGCACAAAUUGCUAAUUUACCCUUAUUGUCCUCCAGUUCAGAAGAAGCAGAGAAAUUUUAAGACUUAUAUCAGUGAUAAGAUCAAAGAAGAAAUCACAAAACAGUUGAAAGCAGGGAUAAUCUGGGUGGUCCGAUAUACUACGUGGUUGGCCAACAUAGUUCUCGUGCCAAAGAAAGAUGGGAAAACCCGGGUGUGUGUGGACUACCGAGAUUUGAAUGGGGAAAGUCCCAAAGACAAUUUCCCUUUUCCCAACAUCCACAUCCUUGCUGAUAACCGUGCCAAACACGAGAUACAGUUCUUCGUGGAUUGUUCCACAGGAUAUCACCAGGUAUUGAUGGAUGAAGAAGAUUCCGAGAAAACAGUUUUCACUAUACCCUGGGGCACCUAUUAUUAUCAGGUCAUGCCAUUUAGGCUGAAGAAUGCUGGGGCAACUUAUAUGAGAGCCGUGACUGCCAUUUUCCAUGAUAUGAUACAUCAGGAGAUAGAGGUGUAUGUGGACGACGUGAUCAUCAAGUCCAGAACUCAGGACUAUCAUGUUAAAAUUAAAAUUUCAGAAAGAUAAGUGCACUUACUUGAAACACAAGUCAGUAAACAAAGGGUGGAAAGUUAAAAACUGAAAACAAAAGAGGGAUUGAAAUGAAAGAAAACAAAAAUCUGAGUUGCACUUCAUUUUUGCCUAUAAAAGGCAUCACAAAUGCCUUGAAAAACAAGUUUUUAGCCAUCAAAAAUUCCUCAUAAAAGCACUCUUUCCAAUUUUCACUUUUCAAAUAUUCAAAAAUCCAAAAACAUCAGAAAAAAAAACAAAAAAAAAAACAUUCUAGUGUUUCAUUGCCUAGUUAGAUCAUUUCAAAGUUUUCCUUGAUUUUCUUCAAAUUUGUUCUAAGUUCGAGUUUCAACAGCAUUUAGGAGUAUUUGGUAAUAAGUUCGAGUGAAUAGGGGUUUGUUUAGGUUGGUUUCUGGUUAAGUACUAUUCCAGGGAAGUCUCAGAAGCAAUUUAAGUUCAUUUUUCAAACUUAUUUGAGUACAAUUUGAGUUAGUUGUGGCUUAGCUGAUUGGAAGCACUAAUUUCUGGUUUCAUUUUGGUCAAUUUCUGUGUUGUGUUUGGUCUGUUGUACGAGUCUCGUUUGAUUUUAAAUCAGUUUUGAAUCAUUGAGCUAUUUCUGGGUUAAAAUCGUGUUGCAUAUUGCUGCUGUGCUAACUUCUUCUUCUUCCUGUUGAAUUCUGAUUCUGAGGUACAUAUUUAUAAACUCACUUUGAUGUAAUUAUGAAUUGGAGUUGGAAUAGAGCUAUUCAUCAUAUCUAGGUGCUGAAGAUGAUUUUCUGCUGUUCUAGUAUGUAGUUAAUUAGUUGCUUGUUAAUUAGCUUUUUGUAUCCAUCUAUGUUAACC